rnacentral:rRNA from 1 species
AUUGAACGCUGGCGGCAGGCCUAACAUAUGCAAGUCGAACGGUAACAGGAAGCAGCUUGCUGCUUCGCUGACGAGUGGCGGACGGGUGAGUAAUGUCUGGGAAACUGCCUGAUGGAGGGGGAUAACUACUGGAAACGGUAGCUAAUACCGCAUAACGUCGCAAGACCAAAGAGGGGGACCUUAGGGCCUCUUGCCAUCGGAUGUGCCCAGAUGGGAUUAGCUAGUAGGUGGGGUAACGGCUCACCUAGGCGACGAUCCCUAGCUGGUCUGAGAGGAUGACCAGCCACACUGGAACUGAGACACGGUCCAGACUCCUACGGGAGGCAGCAGUGGGGAAUAUUGCACAAUGGGCGCAAGCCUGAUGCAGCCAUGCCACGUGUAUGAAGAAGGCCUUCGGGUUGUAAAGUACUUUCAGCGGGGAGGAAGGGAGUAAAGUUAAUACCUUUGCUCAUUGACGUUACCCGCAGAAGAAGCACCGGCUAACUCCGUG